rnacentral:rRNA from 1 species
AUGGCGGCGCCGGGGGGGAGGAGGGCGGACUUCUCCUCGGCCGCGUCGCCGGGGGGGCCGUCGCCGGCGGGGGCGUCGUCCGCGGGGAGGCGGCUGCUGCGCACGCAGACCGUCGGCAACAUGGGGGAGUCCAUCUUCGACAGCGAGGUCGUGCCCUCCUCGCUCGUCGAGAUCGCGCCCAUCCUCCGGGUCGCCAACGAGGUCGAGGCCGGCAACCCGCGCGUCGCAUACCUCUGCCGCUUCUACGCCUUCGAGAAGGCCCACCGGCUCGACCCCACCUCCAGCGGCCGUGGAGUGCGCCAGUUCAAGACCGCGCUGCUGCAAAGGCUCGAGAGGGAGAACGACCCGACGCUCAAGGGGAGGGUGCACCAGAGCGACGCGCGCGAGAUGCAGCGCUUCUACCGCGAGUACUACAAGAAGUACAUCCAGGCGCUCCAGAACGCCGCCGACAAGGCCGACCGUGCCCUGCUCACUAAAGCGUACCAGACUGCCGCGGUCUUGUUCGAGGUCUUGAAAGCCGUUAACGUGUCGCAGUCCGUUGAAGUCGACCAGGCGAUUCUGGACACGCACAACAAAAUCGAGGAGAAGAAGAAGCUCUAUGUGCCUUACAAUAUCCUGCCUCUCGAUCCUGAAAGUACCGAUCAAGCUAUAAUGCAAAACCCGGAGAUUCAAGCUGCUGUCUACGCUCUUCGCAAUAUAAGAGGCCUGCCGUGGCCCAAGGACAAGGAGCAGGAAAAGAAGCAGGAAAAGAAGCCUGAUGAGAAGAAGACCGAUAGAGAUCUUCUCGACUGGCUUCAGGCUAUGUUUGGGUUUCAGAAAGACAAUGUAGCCAACCAAAGGGAACAUCUCAUCCUGUUACUUGCAAAUGUACACAUAAGGCAGAUACCAAAGCCUGAACAGCAAUCUAAGUUGGAUGACAGGGCUCUGGAUUAUGUAAUGAAGAAGCUAUUUAAGAGUUAUAAGAUGUGGUGCAAGUACCUUGGCCGCAAAAGCAGUUUAUGGUUGCCAACUAUCCAACAGGAAGUUCAGCAACGCAAGCUUCUCUAUAUGGGUCUCUACCUUUUGAUUUGGGGCGAGGCGGCUAACUUGAGAUUCAUGCCAGAGUGUCUUUGCUACAUAUACCAUCAUAUGGCUUUUGAGCUCUAUGGUAUGUUGGCUGGAAACGUGAGCCCAAUGACUGGUGAAAAUGUUAAACCAGCUUAUGGUGGUGAUGAAGAGGCAUUCUUGAUGAAAGUUGUGACUCCGAUAUACAAAGUUAUAGAGGAGGAAGCUCACAGGAGCAAGACAAUGAAGUCAAAACACUCACACUGGAGGAACUACGAUGAUCUAAAUGAGUACUUUUGGAAAGUUGACUGCUUCCGGCUUGGAUGGCCCAUGAGAGCUGAUGCAGAUUUUUUCAAAACUCCCAAAUUUGCUUAUCCUAAUCGUCUGAAUGGAGAGGAAAGAUCUGCUGGCAGUGUCCAUUGGAUGGGAAAGAUUAAUUUUGUCGAGAUACGUUCAUUUUGGCACAUAUUCCGUAGUUUUGAUAGAAUGUGGAUCUUCUUAAUUUUAUCCUUGCAGGCUAUGAUUAUUAUUGCAUGGAAUGGUGGCACACCAAGUGAUAUCUUUGAUGCUGGAGUUUUCAAACAAGUUUUGAGCAUAUUUAUAACUGCUGCUGUUUUAAAGUUGGGUCAAGCCACCCUGGACAUUGUAUUUGGCUGGAAAGCAAGAAGAAGCAUGUCGUUUGCAAGAAAGCUGCGAUAUGUCCUGAAGUUAGUAUCAGCUGCUGCAUGGGUUGUGAUUCUACCUGUGACUUAUGCAUAUACCUGGUCUAAUCCUUCGGGUCUUUCAAGAAUAAUAAAAAGUUGGCUUGGCAAUGGUCAGAAUCAGCCAUCAUUAUACAUUUUGGCUGUUGUUAUAUAUUUGGCGCCAAAUAUUCUUGCGGCUGUGCUAUUUCUUUUCCCAUGUAUCAGAAGGAUACUUGAGAGUUCAAAUGUUAAGGUCAUAACAUUCAUGAUGUGGUGGUCCCAGCCUCGAUUAUUUGUUGGCAGAGGAAUGCAUGAAGGCCCAUUCUCUCUCUUCAAGUAUACCAUGUUCUGGGUUCUCCUUUUAGCGAUGAAGUUGAUAGUGAGCUUCUAUAUUGAGAUCAAGCCUCUGGUACAACCAACAAAAGAUAUAAUGAGAGAACCGAUUCGGAAUUUCCAGUGGCAUGAGUUUUUCCCUAAUGCAAGUAACAAUAUUGGUGUUGUCAUCGCACUUUGGGCUCCAAUAAUUCUUGUCUAUUUCAUGGACACCCAAAUUUGGUACGCAGUUUUCUCAACAUUGAUUGGUGGUAUCUAUGGGGCUUGUCGUCGACUUGGUGAGAUACGGACUUUAGGCAUGUUAAGAUCUCGCUUUGAAUCUUUGCCUUGGGCCUUCAAUAAAUUGUUGAUACCUUCUGAUCAACACAAGAGGAAAGGUUUUCGGGCUGCUUUUUCCACUAAACUUGCUAAGCCUUCUGGUAAUGAACAAGAGAGGGAGAAAAUAGCUGCAAGAUUUGCCCAAAUGUGGAAUCUAAUUAUCACAAGUUUCCGUGAAGAAGAUCUCAUAGAUAACAGGGAGAUGGACUUGCUACUUGUUCCAUACUGCAAAGAUCGUGAAUUGGAUAUAUUCCAAUGGCCACCUUUUCUACUUGCUAGCAAGAUUCCGAUAGCAUUGGAUAUGGCGGCAGACAGUGGAGGAAAUUAUCGCGAUCUGAACAAGAGAAUGAAAUCGGACCCGUAUUUUUCCUAUGCUAUCAGAGAAUGCUAUGCUUCAUUCAAAAACAUCAUCAACACCUUAGUGUUUGGUCAACGUGAGAAAGUUGUUAUGCAAGAGAUUUUUGAAGUUGUUGAUAAACAUAUAGCCGAAGAAACUCUGAUUAGGGAUCUGAACAUGAGGAGUCUUCCAGCCCUGAGCAAGAAGCUCAUUGAGCUACUUGAGUUACUGCAAAAGAAUAAGGUAGAAGACUUGGGUCAAGUUGUUAUUUUGUUCCAAGAUAUGCUUGAGGUGGUCACAAAGGAUAUAAUGGAGGAACAAGAGCUCAGCAGUGUACUGGAUUCCAUACACGGUGGAAAUGCUAAAAAACAUGAAGGAAUGACACCGCUUGAUCAGCAAGAUCAAUUGUUUACUAAAGCUAUUAAGUUCCCUGUGGAGGCAUCAAAUGCAUGGACUGAAAAGAUAAAGAGGCUUCAUCUUCUGCUCACCGUCAAAGAGUCUGCUAUGGAUGUCCCUACAAACCUUGAUGCUAGAAGGAGAAUAUCUUUCUUUGCAAAUUCUCUUUUUAUGGAUAUGCCAAAUGCUCCAAAAGUGCGGAACAUGCUGCCCUUCUCGGUCUUGACUCCUUAUUACAAGGAAGAUGUUCUGUUUUCAUCAGAUAAUCUAGAAGAGGCAAAUGAGGAUGGAAUUACCAUACUUUUCUACUUGCAAAAAAUUUACCCAGAUGAGUGGAAAAAUUUCCUCGAAAGGGUGAACAGAUCUGAGGAGGAGGCCCGUGAUGAUGAUACAAUAGAAGAUGAGCUUCGUCUUUGGGCAUCAUACAGGGGACAAACAUUGACAAGAACUGUAAGAGGGAUGAUGUACUACCGAAAAGCUUUGGAGCUUCAGGCUUUUCUUGAUAAUGCCAAAGAUGAUGAUCUUAUGAAAGGCUACAGAGAGAUAGCUGACAUGAAGGAAUCUGAAUUGAUGACAGAAUGCAAAGCGAUAGCUGACAUGAAAUUUACAUAUGUGGUCUCAUGCCAACAGUAUGGAAUCCAGAAACGUUCUGGUGAUCCUUGUGCACAUGAUAUUUUGAGACUAAUGACAACAUAUCCAUCUUUUCGUGUUGCCUAUAUUGAUGAAGUUGAAGCUCCUAGCCAAGAUAGAAACAAGAAGACCGACAAAGUUUACUACUCAGUUUUGGUGAAGGCUGCUGUUACAAAAUCAGAUGAUCCUGGACAGAGUCUUGACCAGGUCAUCUACAAGAUCAAGCUUCCAGGCAAUGCUAUUCUAGGCGAGGGAAAGCCAGAAAAUCAGAACCAUGCAAUAAUUUUCACUCGAGGCGAAUGUCUCCAAACUAUAGAUAUGAACCAGGAGCAUUACAUGGAGGAGGCUCUGAAAAUGAGAAAUUUGUUGGAAGAGUUUCUGGAGAAACAUGAUGGUGUGAGAUAUCCAUCGAUACUUGGAGUAAGGGAGCAUAUAUUUACUGGCAGUGUUUCAUCACUUGCCUGGUUCAUGUCGAAUCAGGAGACGAGUUUUGUGACCAUUGGACAGCGUGUGCUUGCCAAUCCAUUGAGGGUUCGGUUCCACUACGGCCAUCCUGAUAUAUUUGAUCGCCUUUUCCACCUUACAAGGGGUGGUAUAAGUAAAGCAUCUAAGAUUAUCAAUCUUAGUGAGGACAUAUUUGCAGGAUUCAAUUCUACAUUACGUGAAGGCAAUGUCACUCAUCAUGAAUACAUGCAAGUUGGCAAGGGAAGGGAUGUGGGUCUUAAUCAGAUUUCACUAUUUGAGGCAAAGAUAGCAAAUGGUAACGGUGAACAGACACUCAGCCGUGACAUUUACCGACUGGGGCACCGUUUUGAUUUCUUCAGAAUGUUGUCGUGUUACUAUACGACAAUUGGGUUCUAUUUCAGCACAAUGAUUACAGUUUGGACUGUGUAUGCUUUCCUUUAUGGGCGUUUGUAUCUUGUCCUCAGUGGACUUGAUGCAGCACUUGCUACUGGAAAGAGGUUCGUGCAUAAUACACCGCUCCAGGUCGCGCUUGCAUCAGAAUCUUUUGUUCAACUUGGAUUUUUGAUGGCAUUGCCCAUGAUGAUGGAAAUCGGGUUGGAGAGAGGAUUCAGAACGGCAUUAAGUGACUUUGUGCUCAUGCAACUCCAGUUGGCAUCUGUUUUCUUCACAUUUUCACUUGGGACCAAAACUCACUAUUAUGGAAGGACGCUACUCCACGGAGGAGCUGAAUAUAGAGCGACUGGACGUGGGUUUGUGGUGUUCCAUGCCAAAUUCGCCGAGAACUACCGACUCUAUUCUCGCAGCCAUUUCGUGAAGGGUAUUGAACUGAUGAUUCUGCUUGUCGUGUAUGAAAUCUUCGGACAGACGUACAGAGGAGCUAUCACUUACAUCUUCAUCACUGUUUCCAUGUGGUUUAUGGUGGGCACCUGGCUCUUUGCACCCUUCCUGUUCAACCCUUCUGGAUUUGAGUGGCAGAAGAUUGUGGACGACUGGACUGAUUGGAACAAGUGGAUCAGUAACCGUGGAGGUAUUGGUGUGGCGCCAGAGAAAAGCUGGGAAUCAUGGUGGGACAAAGAGCAGGGGCCUCUUCGUCACUCUGGGAAGCGUGGCACCAUUCUUGAAAUACUUCUUGCAUUGCGUUUCUUCAUCUACCAAUACGGGCUUGUGUAUCAUUUGAAUAUAACCAAGCAGUAUAACCAAAGCGUGCUGGUUUAUGGCUUCUCAUGGGUUGUGAUUCUAGUCAUGCUGCUUGUUAUGAAGACCGUGUCAGUCGGCAGGAGGAGGUUCAGCGCGGAGUUCCAGCUCGUCUUCCGUCUGAUCAAGGGGCUGAUAUUCAUAACAUUCAUCUCCAUCAUCAUAAUCUUAACAGCAAUCGCCCACAUGACAGUCCUUGACAUCUUCGUCUGCAUCCUCGCCUUCAUGCCAACUGGAUGGGGCUUGCUUCUGAUUGCCCAAGCGAUCAAGCCUGUGGUCGAGAUGGUCGGGCUGUGGGGGUCUGUGAAGGCUCUCGCCCGUGGCUACGAGAUUCUCAUGGGGCUCCUGCUGUUCACGCCCAUCGCGUUUCUCGCGUGGUUCCCCUUCGUGUCCGAGUUCCAGACCAGGAUGCUCUUCAACCAGGCGUUCAGCAGAGGCCUGCAGAUCUCCCGUAUCCUCGGCGGCCACAAGAAGGACCGAGCCACCCGGAACAAGGAGUAG